rnacentral:lncRNA from 1 species
AACAACAUGAAGCAGUACAAAUAGAUGGUAUCUCGCUAGCUCUUUCUGAGACCGUAAAACAUAAAUGCAGAGCACCUUCAAAGACGAAGGGCUGACUAAACAUUGUAAUUCAAGGCAAUGAAGAUCCAGUCACAGUCAUACUCAACACAGUUAAAAGCAAAGCAUAAAAAUGACAGAGGUGCUCUCUAAUUGGUGCUUUUGUAAGAGGAGGAUGACUCAACAGGAACAUAAAUAGACAGGCCCUUCGCAGAGGGAAGCAUUGAUUUGUAGAGGUGCUAGAGCUCAAGCUUUGAAAACAGAGAUAAUAAUUUUGGGUGGCAAUGCUUUCAUUGUCAACGCAAUGACUAAGAGUUCUCAACAUCUUCCACGCUACACAUACUAUAGGCAGUUCCCAAACAGAAAAGUAAAGUUUUGACUCCACCACCACCAAUCAAUCACACUCCACGGCUAGCUGAAUCCUCAGGUACCGUCCAUACCAACAUCAA